CUUAAAUUAACUCUCUUCAAUUAGAACAAAGCCAAGGAAACAAAUCCCCUGGGAUUACACUGCUCUUCAUGGCACUAACCUGAGUUAAAUAUUUGGGUGCCCUACAUUGUGAUCUAUUUUUAACAUAUUAAUAGCAUGUAAAAACUCACAUUGAAAUGAGCAUGUUUGAGGACACUUAUUUAUUUAUAUGGACCAUAGACUCUUCAAGGAAAAAUUCUAAACUUACAGCAGAGGUCAGCGGUUCUCAACCAAGGGUGAUUUGAUGCUUCCCCCCCACCCCACCCCCACCCACCCAGACAUUUUGGCAAUGACUGAAGACAUUUUUGAUUGUCGUAUUGUCAUAAUGGGGGCGGGGUGCUACUGACAUCUAACGGUUAGAGGCCAGGGAUGUUGCUAAAUAUCCUGCAGGGUAUGGUACAGUCCCACAACAACAAAGGAUCGUUGUAUCCCAAAUGUCAAGAGUGCCG